CCUAUGGGAGGCAGCAGUGGGGAAUAUUGCACAAUGGGCGAAAGCCUGAUGCAGCAACGCCGCGUGCGGGAUGAAGGCCUUCGGGUUGUAAACCGCUUUCAGCAGGGACGAAGCGCAAGGUGACGGUACCUGCAGAAGAAGCCCCGGCUAACUACGUGCCAGCAGCCGCGGUAAUACGUAGGGGGCAAGCGUUAUCCGGAUUCAUUGGGCGUAAAGCGCGCGUAGGCGGUCUGUUAGGUCAGGAGUCAAAUCUGGGGGCUCAACCCCUAUCCGCUCCUGAUACCGGCAGGCUUGAGUCUGGUAUGGGAAGGUGGAAUUCCAAGUGUAGCGGUGAAAUGCGCAGAUAUUUGGAAGAACACCAGUGGCGAAGGCGGCCUUCUGGGCCAUGACUGACGCUGAGGCGCGAAAGCUAGGGGAGCGAACAGGAUUAGAUACCCUAGUAGUCC
rnacentral:rRNA from 1 species